UACGUAGGGGGCAAGCGUUGGUCCGGAAUCAUUGGGCGUAAAGCGCGCGUAGGCGGCCCGGUAAGUCCGUUGUGAAAAGUCAAAGGCUCAACCUUUGAACGCCGAUGGAUACUGCCGGGCUAGAGUCCGGAAGAGGCGAGUGGAAUUCCUGGUGUAGCGGUGGAAUGCGCAGAUAUCAGGAGAACACCGACGGCGAAGGCAGCUCGCUGGGACGGGUACUGACGCUGAGACGCGAAAGCGUGGGGAGCGAACAGG
rnacentral:rRNA from 1 species